rnacentral:lncRNA from 1 species
CUAAUUGAUCUCUAAGGUCUUAUGGAAUGUGUGUUUGGAUUAAGAAAGCCAGAAGUGAACUUUAACUCCAACUAGGAUGAACUGUCAUGGCAGGAAUGGGGAUGAAGAUGGAGAAGAACAAAGUAAGCCUAUAAGGAAGCCUCCACCCCAAGUGGUAACUUUAAUUAAUGGCUCAUCCAUCUCUAAAGGAGGCCUCAGGGGGACAAUGGUCACAGAGCUAAGCAGAGACUCCAAGCAAAGGCAUCAGCAGAUCCACAUCAGGGUCAUGGGACUGCUCCCCCAUGACCAACAAGGAUAAUCAGUCCCUUCACACCCACCCCAGGUCCUGGCAUCUGGCCAAUCCAAGCUACUCCUACUGCUGCCGCUGUCUUUUCUCCCAGCUGACUUCUCUGUUGCCUGGAAAGCCUACAGGGACUUCUGAAGGAGGAAGGGUUGUUGGGUGAGAGGAUGAGCCAUGUGCUCUGUUCAUUGAUAGGAUCCCUGGGGGACAGGAAGAGGAUUCUCCAUUCUGUGGACCCUGGGAGGACAGAGAAUAAUACUGCAUUCAGCCUCGUUUUCUGAGGUCCCAGACCACUUCCUCUGGGACCUGAUCCCCCAAGGCUCCCUGAUCUCAUGAUGCUAGACCAAGGGAAUGGUUUCAUACCAUACCUAGUAAAGGAUCUUCAAUUCUGGAACAGUCAUGUGCAGGGGGCUUCCUUGGCAUCUCUUGACAUGCAAGGCAAAGGGAGAAAAUCAAUGGCCCAAAUUCCUGGAUAUUCUGCCCAAAGGCCAGACCCCCUGAUGAUUUGGUCAGUUACAUAUACUGAUAUCAUCCCGAUCUGCUGUCCAGCCACCCCCAGGGAACCGAAAAUGGCAUGGCAGGCUGAUGAGAGUUGCAACUGCAUGAAGAGAAGAUUGGUUUCCAGAAUGUGAGAGAUUAUAAAUCAGCUGUACUGUGCCUUAAUAAGACCACAACUGGAAUGUUUUCUUCCACUUUGGGGCACCACAUUUUAGGAAAUAUAGCAACAAUAUACACCACAAAGCAUACACACAAAAAGUGUGUCCUGACCAGAGUCCUUAAAGUACUUGAAAUGAUGGUGUAUUAGAAUCAGUUGAAGAAAAUGGGAAUAUACAAAAUGAAAGAGAGAGUCAUGGAGGGGAUAUGAUACUCACCUUCACAUACAUCAAGGAUUGUCACAGGACCUCAUCACUACCCUUUGCCUCUUUAAGGAGAGAACUCAGCUCAGACAUCUCAUUUUUCACCUGGCUACACUACCUUGACUAACCUCUCUAUCAUGUCCUCCAAAGCCAGGGACUUUCCUUGUCCGCACCCCUUUUGUGUAUUGUCUCCUUCCAAGAGACUAUACAUUCUUUGAGGGCAGAGGCUUUCUUUUGUGUAUUUAUAGUGCUUAGAACAGUGCCUAAUACAUAGUAAGCAUUUAAUAAAUAUUUACUGAUUGAUUUAUUAGACUAUUUU